rnacentral:lncRNA from 1 species
CUCGGGCGCCGCGCCUCCUGUUCCGGGCGCGCGGGGUCGGCCGGCCGCCUUCGCUGCUCCGCCGCGGCUCUCAGCGCCGCUCAGCGCGGCGGGCCCGCCCGGGCUCAGGUGCCCCCCGCUCUCCGGACCUUCUCGCCCGGCCCCGCGUCCCCUCCGCGGGCUUCCCCCGGCGGCCGGCCGGGCUCGGAGGCUCGCGGCCGGAGCGGAGCGGAGUGCGCACGCCGGGGUGGCAGGACUUCGGCAAGACCAACUUUCCGUGGUCCUGUCUGGUGUGAACCGUCAGCACAGAUGGCCUCCUGGAGCUUCCCCGAGUCGUUCGCUGGGGGAAGCGGGCGGUGAGCGGCCAGCCCGGGCGCUCCGCAGGCCGCGAGCUCCCGGCAGGGCUGGUGGCGGGGGUCCGCCUGGGGGAGGAAUCCCCGCCUGCUCCAUCGGACCCGGCCUGGCGCGGCUCGCGGCGCUCGGCGGGCUCCCUUCCAUUCUAGAAUCUUCCCGCUUGCUUCCCAGCCCGCGUUCUUCCGCCUGCCUUUAAUUGUGUGUGGACGUGGGGAGGAUCUUCUAAGUCCCUCCAACGAAGGCAAGUGUGAGACUCUGGCCCUUUAUUUGUAAGAAGCAAGCCUUCAGAUUGCAGAAGUGUCGCGCGGGUCGCCGUGCGUUGCGCGAGUGGGAAGAUGGAGGAGGCCGGCACGCUGCUUUCGUGGACGCAAGUGAACCGGGCGUGAAGGCAGGGUGCGAGCUCUGCCCUUGGCCCAGCCCUGCGUGGGCGCCGUCCCAGAUUCCGGGCGGUGCGGGGUGCAGAGAUCUGGAGAGACUUGCGGGCUCCCCAGCGCAGGCUGCUCUGGGAUUUCGUUGGAAGAUCCGGCAGAGCCUUGGAGGAGAGGGCCCGGGAGGCUGUGUGUGCAGCGGAAACUUGUACGAAUGCCCCCACAGCGGAAAUGGUGCGCACGAGUAAUUUCUGCGGUGCACCCUUUUAAAAAUUGACAAGUGAACAAGAUCAAUUUUUUAAGAAAGCAAAGGUAGAAAACAAAAGGCGUGCGACUUCUUGACUGGCUUGUUCCCGCCUUUCUUCCUUCUCUAUACUCAGAUCAGAAACUUUUCUUUAAUUGCUCUUAUUCAGUGCGACAACUUUUAAUAAAAGCAUUUGCAUUUUAAGCCUGAGUUGCAACCAUAGAUUUAUUGCGAAGUGACAACGUGUCUAUGGAAUAUUUUCGCAGAUGAGACAGGACAUGCGCUCUAGUCGUGCCCAGAUUAAAGCGACGCUGGGCCAUGUGCCUGUGUAGUGCAGACUCGGAGGGGCACACACAUACUCGUCACCACAUGACCACUGUCUAUUAAUAUUGUCAUACCUAAACACUCGCAAAAACAAAAGUUGCUUUUCUUCCCUGUAAUUAAAUCUAAUUUGUUAAUUGUCUUUCCUCUUGCAAUGUUGUUUUCAUCUUGAGGUGACA